AGCCCUUUGAAAAUAUAAGGGGUCCCGCCUGCCCAGUGGCCUAAAAGCUAAACGGCCGCGGUAUCUUGACCGUGCAAAGGUAGCAUAAUCAUUUGUCUUUUAAAUGGAGACUUGUAUGAACGGCGAAACCUUUUUCAACUGUCUCCCCUCUUAUCCUUAUAAAUUUCUUUCCGCGUGAAGAAGCGCGGAUAAACAAGAAAGACGAGAAGACCCUGUCGAGCUUUAGCCAGUAAGCGAUCGACACAAUUACCACGUUAUCGCCUAAAGGCUUUGGUUGGGGCAACCAUGGAGAAAAUAAAUCCUCCAGCAAAAUAGUAGACAACUACUCUCUAUUAUUAACCUAGAGAACCAGGAACUGGUAAUCGGAAAAAGUUACCGCAGGGAUAACAGCGUAAUCCUCUCUAAGAGUCCUUAUUGACGAGAGGGUUUGCGACCUCGAUGUUGGAUUGGGGCUCCCAUUGGGUGCAGAAGCUCUAAACGGUUAGACUGUUCGUCUAUUAAAGCCCU
rnacentral:rRNA from 25 species